GCAAGAGGCGCGGGUAAGGUCACGGGACGCUCUAGAUCCAGAGUCUCCAGUUCUUGUCGAAGAGGAGGCCCAGGAGAGUCUGGAUCUGGAUGCUACCCCGGAGCUGGAGGUGGAGCCUACCACAGGCCAAGGGGCAGAAGUGGAGGAGACGGUAGCGGAGCCGGUGGCACCCCCACAGGCGCGCCCAGGAAGACCGAGGCGCACGGCAAGGAGGACCACUUCUGCACCCUUUAGCACCCCCUCUGGCUCCCAGCAGUUUUUUCAACGCGCUGAGGAGGUUUUGCAUAGGCCCCCGGAUGCCGAACAACAAUUUGGCAAUUUUAUUGCAUCGGAAAUGCGCCUGAUGACGGAUGAUCAAAAAUUCAUCGUCCAACGGUUAGUCAAUGAGAUUGUCUCACGUGGCAGGCGCCAAACACUGGUGUCGGCAUGUGAGAUAGUGCCAACUGACCCUUGGUAUCACCCAAAUUUGUCCCGUCCCCCCUUCCCAAACAACCCCCCCAUGGAGCAUGCGCCGGUAAACCCCCCUCAGCAACCGUAUUUUUUUCCGUCGGGAGCCACACAGCCCAGCCCCUCCCCCCAAUCUAGCACCUCGUCCAGUGGCAUGUACUCUGACAUGCAGAGUACACAGUCCUCUGUGCUGGGCGACCCACGCUUUUUUCAUUUAUAAUUAGUUUUUUGGACCCGGUUUUUUUGUUUUGUUAGAAAAAUCUGCUGGUGACCUUAUCCUACGCUCUUGCUCAAAGUGAACUGUAUUGAGGUCAUUAGUACUGCAGCGUCGGUUUUGUGUCCUCACUGUCCCGGACUACGGAUCGUUGUAAAGACUGCACUUCUUGUGUUCCUUCAAGACUGUUUGGAAAUUUGAUGAUGUUCUUCACCCAAGGCAAAAUUGCACUGUUUACCUCUACUGUACUCGGAUAUGCCCGUUUCCUGUUCUGUUGGCAUAGUCCCUGUCCAAAGGCACUCGUUCUCAUGGUACAGCUUAUGAAUCCUGGCCAGAGUUGGCGUUGGCAUUUAAUAUUUUUAUAAAUUUUACGAAAAAACAAA